UACAGAGGUCCCAAGCGUUGUUCGGAUUCACUGGGCGUAAAGGGCGCGUAGGCGGCCUGCUAAGUCGAACGUGAAAUCCCCGGGCUCAACCCGGGAACUGCGUCCGAUACUGGUUGGCUUGAAUCCGGGAGAGGGAUGCGGAAUUCCAGGUGUAGCGGUGAAAUGCGUAGAUAUCUGGAGGAACACCGGUGGCGAAGGCGGCAUCCUGGACCGGCAUUGACGCUGAGGCGCGAAAGCCAGGGGAGCAAACGGG
rnacentral:rRNA from 1 species